rnacentral:rRNA from 1 species
CCUACGGGAGGCAGCAGUGAGGAAUAUUGGUCAAUGGGCGUAAGCCUGAACCAGCCAAGUCGCGUGAGGGAUGAAGGUUCUAUGGAUCGUAAACCUCUUUUAUAAGGGAAUAAAGUGUGGGACGUGUCCUGUUUUGUAUGUACCUUAUGAAUAAGGAUCGGCUAACUCCGUGCCAGCAGCCGCGGUAAUACGGAGGAUCCGAGCGUUAUCCGGAUUUAUUGGGUUUAAAGGGUGCGUAGGCGGCCUUUUAAGUCAGCGGUGAAAGUCUGUGGCUCAACCAUAGAAUUGCCGUUGAAACUGGGAGGCUUGAGUAUGUUUGAGGCAGGCGGAAUGCGUGGUGUAGCGGUGAAAUGCUUAGAUAUCACGAAGAACCCCGAGUGCGAAGGCAGCCUGCCAAGCCAUGACUGACGCUGAUGCACGAAAGCGUGGGGAUCAAACAGGAUUAGAUACCCGGGUAGUC